CCCCCCCCAACACACAACGCCCCAAAGAUCUCCAGAUAGAGGCUCCUGCGGUGAAAGACGAGUCUCCUAAUAGCUAUUUUUAGCUUCUUAAGGCUCGGCAAGAACUUUCUGAACAGAACAAUAACCCAGAAGUAUUCACAAGUGUCAACAAAUGGAGACUACAUGUAAUUGAGAAGUUCCCGCACAGCAAAGGAACUAUCACUGGAGUACAGAGACAGUGCACAGAAUGGGAGGAGGGGCUUUACCAGCUAUAGCUCAACAAGGGCCUCAUAUCCAGGAUUUGCCAAACACUGAAAAAAAACAAAUGCCAAGCAACUGAAAUGGCCGGUCACCAAAUGAGCUAAUGAUACUUUAGAAAAAAAAAAAAGAAAUGCAAACAAAUGGCCAAUGACUAUUUUUUAAAAAUGUUCAACUUCCA